rnacentral:rRNA from 1 species
GACGAAGGAUGCAAGCGUUAUCCGGAUUCAUUGGGUUUAAAGGGAGCGUAGGUGGCCUUAUAAGUCAGUGGUGAAAUCCCGCAGCUUAACUGUGGAAUUGCCAUUGAUACUGUAGGGCUUGAGUACAGAGGCCGUUGGCGGAAUAUGACAUGUAGUGGUGAAAUACAUAGAGAUGUCAUAGAACACCGAUUGCGAAGGCAGCUGACGAAACUGUAACUGACACUGAGGCUCGAAAGUGCGGGGAUCAAACAGG